GUUAGCGUAUUAACAGGUGUGACGCAGGAAGGUAGCCCAAGCCAGGCGAUGGUUGUCCUGGUGCAAGUGCGUAGGCCGAGUGAUAGGCAAAUCCGUCACUCAUACAGGCUGAGACACGAUGCGGAUAAAAAGUGGGUGAUCCUAUGCUGCCAAGAAAAGCAUCGACGCGAGGUUCCAGCCGCCCGUACCCCAAACCGACUCAGGUGGUCAGGUAGAGAAUACCAAGGAGAUCGAGAGAAUCGUGGUUAAGGAACUCGGCAAAAUGCCCCCGUAACUUCGGGAGAAGGGGGGCCAUCCGCUUAUUAGGAUUCACUCCGAAAGGGCGUGGUGGCCGCAGAGACUAGUGGGUAGCGACUGUUUACUAAAAACACAGGUCCGUGCCAAGUCGCAAGACGAUGUAUACGGACUGACGCCUGCCCGGUGCUGGAAGGUUAAGAGGACCGGUUAGCCGCAAGGCGAAGCUGAGAAUUUAAGCCCCAGUAAACGGCGGUGGUAACUAUAACCAUCCUAAGGUAGCGAAAUUCCUUGUCGGGUAAGUUCCGACCUGCACGAAUGGCGUAACGACUUCCCAACUGUCUCAACCGCGAACUCGGCGAAAUUGCAUUACGAGUAAAGAUGCUCGUUACGCGCAGCAGGACGGAAAGACCCCGUGACCUUUACUACAGCUUGGUAUUGGUGUUCGGUGUGGCUUGUGUAGGAUAGGUGGGAGACUGUGAAGCAUGGACGCUAGUUCGUGUGGAGUCGUUGUUGAAAUACCACUCUGGUCACUCUGGAUAUCUAACUUCGAACCGUAAUCCGGUUCAGGGACAGUGCCUGGUGGGUAGUUUAACUGGGGCGGUUGCCUCCCAAAAAGUAACGGAGGCGCCCAAAGGUUCCCUCAACCUGGUUGGCAAUCAGGUGGCGAGUGUAAGUGCACAAGGGAGCUUGACUGUGAGACUGACAGGUCGAGCAGGGACGAAAGUCGGGACUAGUGAUCCGGCAGUGGCUUGUGGAAGCGCUGUCGCUCAACGGAUAAAAGGUACCUCGGGGAUAACAGGCUGAUCUUGCCCAAGAGUCCAUAUCGACGGCAUGGUUUGGCACCUCGAUGUCGGCUCGUCGCAUCCUGGGGCUGGAGUAGGUCCCAAGGGUUGGGCUGUUCGCCCAUUAAAGCGGUACGCGAGCUGGGUUUAGAACGUCGUGAGACAGUUCGGUCCCUAUCCGCUGCGCGCGUAGGAAGUUUGAGAGGAUCUGACCCUAGUACGAGAGGACCGGGUUGGACGAACCUCUGGUGUGCCAGUUGUUCCGCCAGGAGCACCGCUGGUUAGCUACGUUCGGGAUGGAUAACCGCUGAAAGCAUCUAAGCGGGAAGCCGGCCUCAAGAUGAGACUUCCAUACCUUCGGGUGAGAGGCUCCCAGCCAGACUACUGGGUUGAUAGGCCGGAUGUGGAAGCGCAGUAAUGCGUGAAGCUGACCGGUACUAAUAAGCCGAUGACUUGAUAACACACC
rnacentral:rRNA from 1 species